rfam:Pan troglodytes isolate Yerkes chimp pedigree #C0471 (Clint) chromosome 7, whole genome shotgun sequence.
GCUGGGCAUGGUGGUGCAUGCCUGUAGUCCCAGUUACUUGGGAGGCUGAGGCAGGAGAAUCACUUGAACCCAGGAGGUGGAGGUUGCGGUGAGUUGAGUUCACACCAUUGUACUCCAGCCUGGGUGACAGAGUGAAACUCUGUCUCAA